rnacentral:lncRNA from 1 species
GUUUUUAGUGAGGCCCCUAAAGGUUUACCACCUUUACAUGGGAUAGAACACUUCCAUUGGCCACAUAUGAAGAAGGAUGUCGAAAAGGUUCCCGAAAGACCGAAAGAUAACUUUCAACUUCAAUACCUUUCUGAUGAAAGACGCUUUCAUACGAUCAACAUAGGCAAAGAUGAAAUCACACUACAUGAGCCCGAAGGUAAGC